rnacentral:rRNA from 1 species
GGCGGACGGGUGAGUAAUAUAUCGGAACGUGCCUUGUAAUGGGGGAUAACUAGUCGAAAGAUUAGCUAAUACCGCAUACGCCCUGAGGGGGAAAGUAGGGGAUCUUCGGACCUUACGUUAUAAGAGCGGCCGAUAUCUGAUUAGCUAGUUGGUGGGGUAAUGGCCUACCAAGGCUUCGAUCAGUAGCUGGUCUGAGAGGACGACCAGCCACACUGGAACUGAGACACGGUCCAGACUCCUACGGGAGGCAGCAGUGGGGAAUUUUGGACAAUGGGCGCAAGCCUGAUCCAGCCAUUCCGCGUGAGUGAAGAAGGCCUUCGGGUUGUAAAGCUCUUUCGCAAGGGAAGAAAACUUACUUUCUAAUAAAGAGUGAGGCUGACGGUACCUUGAUAAGAAGCACCGGCUAACUACGUGCCAGCAGCCGCGGUAAUACGUAGGGUGCGAGCGUUAAUCGGAAUUACUGGGCGUAAAGCGUGCGCAGGCGGUUUGGCAAGUCAGAUGUGAAAUCCCCGAGCUCAACUUGGGAACUGCGUUUGAAACUGCCAGACUAGAAUAUGUCAGAGGGGGGUAGAAUUCCACGUGUAGCAGUGAAAUGCGUAGAGAUGUGGAGGAAUACCAAUGGCGAAGGCAGCCCCCUGGGAUAAUAUUGACGCUCAUGCACGAAAGCGUGGGGAGCAAACAGGAUUAGAUACCCUGGUAGUCCACGCCCUAAACGAUGUCUACUAGUUGUUGGUGGAGUAAAAUCCAUGAGUAACGCAGCUAACGCGUGAAGUAG